GGGCCGUUAGCUCAGUUUGGAUAGAGCACUGGUCUUCGGAACCAGGUGUCGGGGGUUCAAGUCCCUCACGGCCCGCCA
rnacentral:tRNA from 1 species